UUAUAUAUUAUUUGAUAAUUUAAAAUUGUAAUAAUUGUAAUUACAAUAGAUAAUAUAGGCUUACUCAAAUUUGAUAACACCCAGCAGAUAUGGAUUUUGAAAGUAUUGGAACAGCUGACAUGAGUUUGUUAGAACAAAAAAGUAAAAUGGUUGUUGCAACUGCAAGCGGAAGUGCUCUGUACCAAUAUCUAGCAUGUUUUUCUGCUAUAUUAGCACCAGUAUCCAGCGGUUUUCACUAUGGUUGGCCGUCACCAACAUUACCCAGACUCUUAGCCGAGGACUCACUUAUUCCCAUAAACGAAGAUCAAGGGUUUUGGCUUGCCACCAUGCCAUUAUUUGGUGGUUUUGUUGGUUCAUUUACAAAUCCGUUGCUAGUGGACAAAAUAGGAAGACACAAAAUGAUAUUAUUAACAUCAGGACCUUAUCUAAUGGCGUGGAUUAUGAUAUACUUUGCAAGAAAUGUCCCUAUGAUGUAUAUUGCCAGAUUCAUCGCUGGAAUAUCAGAUGGUUGGAGCUUCUCUUCUGUUCCAAUGUACACUGGAGAGGUAUCAGAUGCAAAUAAAAGAGGCAUGUUUGCCUCGUGGACCAGUAUUUCAUUCAUUUUUGGAAUUUUAGGAGUAAACUUCGUUGGAUCCUAUCUGAGUAUACAACACACCGCAAUUGUAGGCGGCGCUAUACCUGUACUAUUGAUUUUAACGUUCAUGUGGAUGCCCGAGUCUCCUUAUUAUUACAUAGUCAAGAAUAAUUUAGAAGGUGCCAGGAGAAGCCUCAAAAUUUUAAGAGGAUUAAGUGACGUUGACGUUGAAACAGAACUGAACAGAAUAGAUAAAGCAGUCAAGGCCGACCUUACAAAAGCGCGCAUAAAUCCGCUACAUCUAUUCACACUAAAGAGAAAUCGAAAAGCUGUGCUCAUAAUGAUGUUAUGCCGAGGAACACAACAGUUUUCUGGUAACUCAGCGAUAUCUUUCUAUGCUCAGAACAUAUUUAACACUUCCGGAGAUUUUAUGUCUGCUAAACUUGCUUCCAAUCUGUUCUUCCUAACGCAGUUAGUAGUUACAAUACUAGCAUCUACCGUCGUUGAUAAAAUCGGAAGAAGGCCCUUGAUAUUGAUAUCUGUAGCUGGAGUAGGAAUAACUUUAAUGGUAGAGGGAAUAUACUUCUACUUACAAACGGUAAUAGAUGUUAGCAGUUUCGCGAUGGUUCCAGUCAUUGCUCUCUUGGUGUACAUUAUCUUCUUCAGUAUCGGUCUCCAAGGUAUUCCUAUCAUCAUUUUAAGCGAAGUGUUUAACGCUGAUAUUAAAUCAAUUGCUCUGGGCUUUGCUGAGAUUUACUUUGCUAUUAUUGCCACUGCCACGUCAAAGUUCUUUCAAGUUACCAGAGAUCACUACGGUAUGCAUGUACCGUUUAUUUCCUUCUCUACCAUUUGUGCCAUUGCUGUUGUUUUAAUAUUCAUUAUGGUUCCUGAAACGAAAGGAAAGACCUUGGAGGAGAUCCAAGAUUAUUUUAAGGGAGUCAAACAUACCAAAUCGACAAGGGAAUGUAGUAAUAGUUAAAAUUGUGUUAUGGCGAACAAAUUAUUGUGUUCAAGUCAACUUCUUGUUCUUUAUAGAAGUUACAAGAUAGGUUACAUUUUUUUGUAUUUGCCUUUGUAUUCUAACCUAUUUUGGCACUGCUGAUUGCAAAGAACACUUUUCUAUCUAUCUAUCUAUAAGCGAGGUUCCUACAACCUCUGCCGCUCCUCGCAUUUCAACCACCAUUGUUUUCUGUUCAUCCAUUCGUCUUUUUUUAAGGCUCUAUCUCUCAUUAUGUGCCAUACAUUUUCUUCCCAGGCAACUGAAGGUUUUUCCCUUCUUCUUCUUUGUUGCGGUAUGUAAUUUAAAGCUAUUUUUGCCCAUCUAUCUUCAUUCAUUCAGUUUACGUGACCACAACACACUUGUUGUGUCGUUUCAAUUCUAUCUAUACUGGAAUAUACAGUAUUUGUCCUCCUUAUAAUAUCUUCAUUCCUGAUGUGAUUUUUUGGAUAUACCACACGCUCUCUUUAGAUAAUCCAUUACUACUUACCAUAAAUCAUAAUAGGCCCUACCAAGGUUCGAUAGAUUGUCUACUUUGUUGUUUGUCUAAUGUCUUUAGACCAGGGUAGAGAGCUUAGAAUAUUUACAGUUUUUUCCCUGCUGCGGUCUGUUUUCGAUGUCUCUUUUAGUAGAACACUUUUCAAUUUAUCAAAAAUACUUCUAACAAGAAUUUUGUUAAAGGAAUGCCAAACAAUUCCUUUUGAGACCGUACUCCCAAUCAAUGUACUAUUUUUUUCUAGUGGUUUAGCGUCUAUCAUUUUUUUGUUUAUACAUAUUAUAGUACGUUCUUUAAAGGUAAAAUAUUGCAAAACCUCUAAAUUUUAAAGAACUGCUUGGAUUGACAUGAAAUUUGGCAUACACAUAGCUAACAAGUCAAAGAAAAAAAGUGAUACUGUGCCGAUGUGUACUUUUGCCCUCCCUUUUGCGGGUGAAAAAUAUAUGUUCCAAAUAAGUCCGGAAAUGGAUAAAAUGACUAAUUCUAAGUAACUUUUGUUCUAUACAGUUUUAUCACCAAGUUAAUAAUUUUCGAGUUAUUUGCGAGUGAAUAUGUUAAUUUUUUGACAAAAUAACCACGUUUUCAGACGGUUUUUCGCAAAUAACUCAAAAAGUAAAUAUUUGGUCGAAAGAAAAUUCUUAUCAAAAAUAUAGCACGUAAAAAAGUAAAAAAUAGGAUGUAUAUAUUAGGUAACUAUACGUAGCAGAAGCAGAGUUAUAGCUAAUUAAAAGUAGGUUCAUAUUUGCUCAAAAUAAAGUUAUUCCCUUCUUUUGGUAAGAAAUCCGGAAAUACACCCCCUAAUUAGCAUUUAAAAUGAACUUAAUUGUUACCUCUUCACAAGUUUUUUACUCGCGUAUGUAUUGAUCAUAUGAUCUGUAAGUUUCAUCGGUUCAAAGUCCUUAUUUUUGAAAAAGCUGUAGUUAAAAGGGGUAUAGGUCCAGUCUUAAGAAAUUCUUUUGAGGUAUGUUGUGUAUUAGAGAAACAUUUUCCGGAAUGUUAAGAGUAUGACUGUUUUGUUUUAAAUGUUGAGAAAAGGUGGAGGUGUUCUCUCUUUUUGUGUGUUCAAGGGAACGAGAUGCUAGUGACCUACAAGUUCUUCCUAUGUACGUAGCAUCACAGUCAGAGCAUUGAAGUUUAUAAACCCCACUACGAUUCAUGUAGUUGAUAGGGUCUUUGGAGUUGGAAAGACAUUGUCCUAAAUUAUUGGAAACUUUAAAAGAGAUGUGUAUGUUGUCAACUGAUCUCUUGAUAAUAUUACUGAUAUCACCGGAAAGGCUCUCUUGAUGGAAAGGUAAUGAAGCAUAAAUGGGUCUGGUGGUCAGAUCCCUGGGAAACGCAGCCUCCCUCAGAACCCUCAGUUGUCUCUUAUGAAGGAGUUUGGUUAUAAGGUUUGGUUCGUAACCGUUAUUGAAAGCAAUUUGUUUGAUAGUGUUGAGUUCUUUAGUGUAGUUAGAUUGAGAUAGGGGGAUGGUUUCUAGACGGUGUAUGUAACUGUGGAAGGCAGAGUAUUUAUGUGACAUUGGAUGGUUUGAAGACAAGGGUAUGACAUGAUCAGUCUGUGUUGGUUUCCUAUAAAUACUAAAAUCGAAGUGGUCAUUCAAUCUGGUGAUGGUGAGGUCGAGAAAGUUAAUUGAAUUGGAUGAUUCAAGUUCCAUAGUGAACUUAAUGUUGGGGUGGAUUUGAUUAAUUUUAGAAAGCAAUAGCUCAGCUGAUGUGGAGGGUCCUGUUAAGAAAACUAGACAAUCAUCUACGUAUCGAUACCAGUGUAGAAUUUCAGGAUUUUUCAUUCUGUGUGGAUUCAAGCUACACACUCAGUGGGAUAUGUUUAAAACAAGCUACGAUAUAGUCCUGUCGCCAGGGGGGGGGGGUACAACGGCCUCCUGUAUUCAGAUGGACUUACCCAAGUUUUUUUUAUGUAUUUUUACCCGUAGAACACGAAUUUUUUGGGUAACAGUUGAGCCGGAUGUCGAUAAGAUUGUUAUAAACAAAGAAGUUGAGGAAUUACAUAACAGCGAUUUCUCGCAAAACAAAACAUGUUUUUGUAUUUUUUGGGCCAUUCUAAACAAAAAGUGUUCCUACCAAUUUUUUCGUAGGAUGCAUAGUUUUUGAGAUAAACGCGGUGGAACUUUCAAAAAAUCGAAAAAUUGCAAUUUUUGUACCCAAAUAACUUUUGAUUAAAAAAUAAAAUAGCAAUUCUGCUUACCGCAUUUGAAAGUUCAAGUCAAAGUAUAUCGGUUUUAGUUAUUUGCAUUGCUAAAAAGUUAUUAUUUUAUUGUUAAACAAAAGUAUAAACACCUAGUGCUGGAGUGAUGUCCCAUUUAAAAUCGAACGAGUAAGUAGAGUAGGUACAAGUGCAAGCGAGGCUAUUUCUACGUAGCAUGCAUGUAAACGCAUGUAUUAGGCACGGGAAACACUAUGUGUUUAUAGCUUUUUUUAGCAAUAAACACAUAAAUUUUUAGCAAUGUAUAUAUUCGAAACCGAUAGAAUUUGACUUGAACUUUCAAAUACGGUAAGCAGAAUUGCUAUUUUAUUUUUUAAUCAAAAGUUAUUCGGGUUCAAAAAUAGCAAUUUUUCGAUUUUUUGAAAGUUCAACCGCGUGUAUCUCGAAAACUAUGCAUCCUACGAAAAAACUUGUAGGAACAUUUUUUGGUUAGAAUGGCCCAAAAAAUACAAAAACAUGUUUUGUUUUGCGAGAAAUCGCUGUUAUGUAAUUCCUCAACUUCUUUGUUUAUAACAAUCUUAUCGACAUCCGGAUCAACUGUUACCCAAAAAAUUCGUGUUCUACGGGCCAAAAUACAUAAUAAAAACUUGGGUAAGUCCAUCUGAAUACAGGAGGCCGUUGUACCCCCCUGGCGACAGGACUAAUACCAGAUGAUAAGAAAAUGACUAAAAUAAUACUCAUUGUAGAACUAUUUUUUUUAUUUUCAUAUUUAGGAGACAAUGAUGCUUAGGUAAUUAUGACCUAUUACUUGAUGGUUACAUUUGAUUUCUUUAAUGAUCAAAAUGUUUGUAUGUUUAUUUAUUUCUAACGAUGUGUUGAUAUUCAUACAGGUUGAGUUUUUAGUGAAACAUUGGUCGAAAAUUCCAUUAGAUACUGGCUACAGAAUAAACAAAAAAGUUAAUUUUGUAUAUAUACAGGGUGUCCUGUUUAAAAAAGUUUGUUUGCGUUAUGACGAAGUUAUUAAUCACUCUGUAGAAUUCGGCAUAUAAUCCAAGUCUGGAGAACAUCAUUGCCUACAUUUUUUCUAAAUCAAUUACCCAUUUUUUUCUAAAUAACUUAAAAACUCACUCUGUAUAUAGAACACUGAAAUAUACUGUAUAUAUUAUUAUUCUAGAUGUUUUAUCAUGUCUAUUACAAGAUUCUGUUGUUUUCGAGACAGUUUAUUUAUACAUUCUGCAUACUGUGAUACUAUUUAUAUAUGAAAAAUUAAUAUUGUAAGUACGAUAAGCAUUGACCUCACUGUACAUAAUUUAAAUAAUUUUUUAAAAACUAAAUAAAACUUUUUGUUAUUUAA
rnacentral:misc_RNA from 1 species